rnacentral:rRNA from 1 species
UAGGGAAUCUUCCACAAUGGACGAAAGUCUGAUGGAGCAACGCCGCGUGAGUGAAGAAGGUUUUCGGAUCGUAAAGCUCUGUUGUUGGUGAAGAAGGAUAGAGGCAGUAACUGGUCUUUAUUUGACGGUAACCACCCAGAAAGUCACGGCUAACUACGUGCCAG